GACGAACCGUGCGAACGUUGUUCGGAAUCACUGGGCUUAAAGGGCGCGUAGGCGGGCUAUCAAGUCCGGGGUGAAAUCCUCCCGCUCAACGGGAGAACGGCCUCGGAUACUGAUGGCCUCGAGGGGGAUAGGGGCACACGGAACUGUGGGUGGAGCGGUGAAAUGCGUUGAUAUCCAUAGGAACUCCGGUGGCGAAAGCGGUGUGCUGGAUCCCUUCUGACGCUGAGGCGCGAAAGCCAGGGGAGCAAACGGG
rnacentral:rRNA from 1 species